GCAAAAGCAACCCCCCCCCCCCCAAUUAGAAUUUAGGUCUACAUGUGAUGUGUCGCACAUCGGUUCUACAGGAAUGUCUUGGGUGUUACAUAUAUGGGUUUGCAAACCUACCAUUGUGAGCUAACUUUUAAGGUGAAGUUAGGCAGGUUCAUAUCAUUUAGUAUCAGAGUCUCACUCAACACAGGUUGAUGGAUCAAGGCCAUGUACAGAGAUUCCCUGACGUUCUUCGGAGAGGUUGGGGUGAACAAGUCAUGACCCUGGUUGCUUAACGAGGAUGUUCAAUCUAAAGGGGUUGGUAAUGAUGCAUCCCAUAUUGAUUCUGCAGGGAGGUCCUGAGUGUUAUAUAUAUGGGUUUGC
rnacentral:misc_RNA from 1 species